rnacentral:rRNA from 1 species
UCCGUAGGUGAACCUGCGGAAGGAUCAAUACCGAAUUGUUGACACGAGUUGUUGCUGGCCUUCAAACGGGGGCACGUGCACGCUCUGUUUAUACAUCCACCCACCCCUGUGCACCUUUUGUAGUUCUGUGGUCUGGAGGCUCCGCUUCCCUUCUGCGGUUCUACGUCUUUACACACACACGUUAAAGAAGUCUGUGGAAUGUAUGCCGCGUUUAACGCAAUACAAUACAACUUUCAGCAACGGAUCUCUUGGCUCUCGCAUCGAUGAAGAACGCAGCGAAAUGCGAUAAGUAAUGUGAAUUGCAGAAUUCAGUGAAUCAUCGAAUCUUUGAACGCACCUUGCGCCCUUUGGCUAUUCCGAAGGGCAUGCCUGUUUGAGUAUCAUGAACACCUCAACCCUCACGGUUCCUCGUGAUGGGCUUGGACUUGGGGGCUUUGUUGGCCUGUGGUCAGCUCUCCUCAAAUAAAUCAGCUCGCCAGUGUCUGGCGGCAUCAUGGGUGUGAUAACCAUCUACGCUUGUGAUCGCCUGCGAGGUAAACCUCUGGUCUGCAGAGGUUCGCUGGAGCUUAUAGAUGUCUCUCCUCUGUGAAGACAGCUUUCUGAAGUUCGAUCUCAAAUCAGGUAGGACUACCCGCUGAACUUAAGCAUAUCAAUAAGCGGAGGAAAAGAAACUAACAAGGAUUCCCCUAGUAACUGCGAGUGAAGCGGGAAGAGCUCAAAUUUAAAAUCUGGCGUGCCUCCGGUCGUCCGAGUUGUAGUCUGGAGAAGCGUUUUCCGUGUUGGACCGUGUAUAAGUCUCUUGGAACAGGGCGUCAUAGAGGGUGAGAAUCCCGUCUUUGACACGGACUGCCAAUGCUUUGUGAUGCGCUCUCAAAGAGUCGAGUUGUUUGGGAAUGCAGCUCAAAAUGGGUGGUAAAUUCCAUCUAAAGCUAAAUAUAGGCGAGAGACCGAUAGCGAACAAGUACCGUGAGGGAAAGAUGAAAAG